rnacentral:tRNA from 1 species
GCGCCGCUAGCUCCGUCGGUAGAGCACGAUACUCCUAAUCUCGGUGUCGUGGGUUCGAGCCCCAUAUUGGGCG